rnacentral:lncRNA from 1 species
AGAAGGUCAGAGGCGCAACGAGGAAUUUGGUCUCUGCAACUGGCACCCAGUGGUGGAGAAUUUUCACUGUCCAGACCCCAGGCCUCAGGGGCAAGUUCAAAGGGGGCUUGUAGUGUGUGAAUUCGGCAGUGGACUCAAUGAGGAUGUCGUAGGUGGCUGCGAUGACAUUGACGGGAUCCACCCAAAUGACGGUCACGGUCACAUUAGGUCCCUUCCCCCACUUCUGCAUACCCACCGGCUCAUCCAUGGGCCCCAGAAGACCCCCAAAGUUGCGGAAUAGCCUCUCCUUGGCAUCCCAGUCAGUGCCGACCUGAAAC